CAUUAUCGCUAAUUUGCUGCUAGUGAAUUUGUGGUACAAACCAGAAUUUUAGUUUGACCCUUGAUUUUAUAAUUUAAUACGAAUAUUACUUACAUUAUUAGUUUUACUGGUAAAUCAGGAGCAAGUUGUUGGAGUCCAGCUGUGACCCCGGGGCAAGAACUUUUUGCCUGCUGUCACCUUCUGACAGUUUGGGCUGUUAAUUACCUCAAUCAACUAGCACACAAGCACCUCUCUGUCUGCCAGCUGGCAGACUCAGCUUCAGAAACUGGCAGCUUGGGAAGAUUUAAAACCUGUAAAAAGGACUGCUAUGUAAACAGUUUAUUGUGUAAUAUUUGAUGACCACAGUAGACCCGCAUCAGUAAUCAAAGCCAGAAGAGUGAACCUAGGGAUUUCAGUUCUGGAGGCGUUAUGUUGGUGCCUUGGAGGAAAGCCAGUCAUUUCGCUCUACUGAAAUAAAUGUGGAACCAAACAGAAAGAAAGUGCUACACAAAUCGUCAAGUCAACCAUCAGCAAAAGAAGCUAAAUACAACAAUGUUGGGGAGAGAGAAUGGUGGGAAGCUUUGGAUGGAGAUGAUGGUGUUGACGAAGAGACAAGGUGGAACGUUAUAAGACAUUAGUGAGAUGAAGGAGGCAGACUGUGGGGACUAAUUACACACAUGUACAGAAGAGGGAAGGGUAAAGAUGGCUGAGUUUUCAGUACAAGUCGCUAGGAAACUCCGUAAGACCAAGAUGCUGGUGUAAGGGAAAGGCGAUACGUGACAUAUCACUGCGUUUCAGAGUCUCAACCCUCAAUGUGUAUCAAGAUACUCUGGAGAGCUUAUGCUUAUUCUGGAAAUUCAAAUGUCCCACCUUAAGCCCUAGAAUUUAAGACUUAAUUGGUCAGGCGUGAAUUCGGUCCUGCGUGUUUAAAAAAAAAAAAACAAAAACAAACAAACAAAAAAACACCUCAUCCCUCCCCAGUGAUUUCCAUGUUUUGAUGAGGUUGAAACAAACUUUUACAUGUCUGGACCUUCCAUAAAUGUGUGUUUGCUUGUUUCUAAAAGAUGAUUCUGUUGAAAAUAAUAAAACAUGGUACUAAAAACUGGAAAGCUGUGACAUUUAGUAUAAGGAGUUGUAAAUUAAGGCAGAGGAUGAGGGAAGGAAUGACAAAGAGAUGACGGAAAAGCAUCCAUAAAGUAAGACACACGGUUGAAAGAUAAACUUCAAAAGGAUGGAGUCUGUAAGUCCUGCUCUUGCCGUUUCUUUCCUUUACCUCACAUGCUGAAGCUCCUGAUGACUCAGAAAAUCCCGGAGGUGGUGAGGCUGAUGACCCUGGGAAGUAGUUGAAAAUUCACUUCAGUCCCUUCCUUCUGCUCAAUCCUCAGCCUUUCCAGUGCCUCUCAGAGCAUGUCAGGCUUGCCAGUUCCUUUCACUUAAACAGAUAGCUGCUCCUCAGGACUCGGACCUCCA